rnacentral:lncRNA from 1 species
GGGUGUGACAGAGGAAAGAUACUUACCUCAUGGAAGCUGGGGGAGUGGAGAACUGAGGGCCAGCAGAAAGUAGAGGACCAGGGACUGGAUACAGCUCCCAGGAUCAUGCCUCCAUGACUCACUUCCUCCAGGGAGGCCCCUCUUCUCUCAGACCAUUCACCUCAUCAGUGUGAGGUUAACAUCCUCACAAACCAUCAUCUCUCUAGGCAUCUCUUAAUCCAGUCAUGUGAACAAAUUCAACCAAGUGUGGAUCAAAAAUAUUCAAACAAAAUGGCAUCUGUACUGAACUGACUUUUCCUUUGCCAUUAUUCCCUGAAAAAUAAGCUGUAAAAGCUCUUUACAUGGCAUUGACAUUCUAUUUCUGUGCCUUAAGAACAUCCGAACC